rnacentral:rRNA from 1 species
CAACGUGGGCAACCUGCCCUAAAGUGGGGGACAACAUUCCGAAAGGGGUGCUAAUACCGCAUGUGUAUGUUUGAUGGCAUCAUCGGAUAUACAAAGGAUUUAUUCGCUUUAGGAUGGGCCCGCGGCCUAUCAGCUAGUUGGUGAGGUAACGGCUCACCAAGGCUUCGACGGGUAGCUGGUCUGAGAGGACGAUCAGCCGGAUUGGGACUGAGAUACGGCCCAG